rnacentral:sRNA from 1 species
GCCAGGUGUGGUGGCUCAUGCCUGUAAUCCUAGCAGCUUGGGAGGCUAAGAUAGGAGGAUCUUGAGUUCAAAGCCAUCCUCAGCAAUGACAAGGCACUUAGCAACUCAGUGAAACCCUGUCUCUA